AAAAAAAAAAUUUUAUUAGUAAAUAAUUUGAAAUUUUUAAGUAAAUUAAUUAAUAUUUAAUCUAUGUCAAGUUAAUUUUAGCUUGAAAAAUUAAUUAUAAUUUAUUUAAAAUUACAUUUUUUUUUUUUUA